ensembl:snRNA Gm24650 predicted gene, 24650
GUACUUGUUUGGCAGUACAUAUACUAACACUGGUAUCGUACAUAGAUUAACAUGGCCCCUACCCAAAAAAAGAUACACAGUUUAUAAAGUAGUCCAUAUUUUU